rfam:Cetobacterium somerae ATCC BAA-474 genomic scaffold Scaffold45, whole genome shotgun sequence.
CUUUCUGGAAAUAGAUUGUUUAGUAUAAAGUUGAUAAUAGGGAUCAAAUGUUUCUACAGGCAGCCGUAAAUUGCCUACUACUAAAAAAAUCGGAGGAAUU